GCGAGUGGUUUUCCCGCGAGGGAGCUGCCCGACCUGUUGUCAUUUGCGCCGGGGGUGGGGGAUGUGUCGGCGAGAGGGUACCCGGAGGGGACGUUUGUCUCGGAAGGGGGGCCUGGGGCCGGCGCACCGCCGCACCGGGAUUUAAACUUCGGCGGAAGAGGCAGGCGUCGACCUGCCCGCCGCCGGCGGCAAGUCUUUACAUCUUGAGGAGAAGCUGAAGUCUGAAGAAGUGAAAAACGAAGAAGAAGCA
rnacentral:misc_RNA from 2 species